rnacentral:rRNA from 1 species
AUAGCGUAUAUUAAAGUUGUUGCGGUUAAAAAGCUCGUAGUUGGAUCUCAGGCCUAGUGUCGAUGGUUCCACGGUUGUGGACUACUGUCGACCUGGUCAUAUUUGGUUCAGCCGUGUUGGGCGGCCUUUAACCGGGUCCACCAACCGCUGAACAUGUUUACUUUGAAUAAAUUAGAGUGCUCAAAGCAGGCGCUUGUUGCCUGAAUAAUCUUGCAUGGAAUAAUGGAAUAGGACCUCGGUUCUGUUCUGUUGGUCUUCGGAAGCCGAGGUAAUGAUUAAGAGGGACAGACGGGGGCAUUCGUAUUGCGACGCUAGAGGUGAAAUUCUUGGACCGUCGCACGACGAACUACUG